rnacentral:sRNA from 1 species
GUCGGCGGUCACACCCCGUUCACUUCCCUGCCAAAUGGACACUUGCUUAAACCUUGUGAGGAGCGGGAAAUCCUGUUCUACCAGAAAAUGCCAAAAAUCUUGAAAUCAAUUGCUCCGCUGUGCUGUAGCACAAUUCAAGGCAGCUCUGUGAGCACACUAGACGAUAGCUGCUCGAAUUGCCGACACCAUCAGUUGGAGAAUGUGGUAAUACCGGAAAGUAUCGAAGGAUCGCCUAUUUUGAAUAAGCGAAAACUUUCAAAG